GCCAGGCGUGGUGGCGCACACCUGAAGUCCCAGCUACUUGGGAGGCUGAGGUGGGAGAAUGGCUUGAGCCCGGGAGUUCAAGGCUGCAGUGAGUCGACAUCGUGCCACUGCACUCCAGCCUGGGCAACAGAGCAAGACCCUGUCUCAA
rnacentral:SRP_RNA from 1 species